rnacentral:RNase_P_RNA from 1 species
CCAAGUCGUUGGAUCGUCGCUGAUAUUUUAUCAGAGGAAAGUCCGGGCUUCACGGAAGCAGGAUGCCGGGUAACGCCCGGACAGUGCCGCAAGGUAUUGAUGGAAAGUGCCACAGAAAACAAACUACCUGAAGAUGCGUGCAUUUUCAGGAAAAGGUGAAAAGGUGCGGUAAGAGCGCACCGCGCACGUGGUAACACGGACGGCAGGGCAAACCCCAUCCGAAGCAAGACCAAAUAGGGGUGGCACAGGGCGAUGUUUCCGCGCCGCCGCCCGGGUAGGUUGCUCGAGGGAUAUGGCAACAUAUCUCCCAGAUGAAUGACGGUACACCGCCCGUUAAACGGCGGGGACAGAACCCGGCUUAUAGGCGACUUGGCAGA